UAGCCGGGCGGCAGGAACCUGGAAGGCCAGGGAGUGAAGUGAUGGGAAUGGCCUGGAGAAGGGGCCUUGUGAAUGGAAGGGAGGACAGUAUUAAAAACUUAAAUCCUCCACGGACUGGGGGGAGGGGAACACUCCUAGAAAGACUUUUACACUGGGGAGUUUCAGACGAAAACCACGCUUUUUUUUCAGUGGGUUUUGGCAGUAAUGAGAAAGCGGUUUCCCAGGCCAAGUUUGUUAUUCAGGGCCUUACUUAUUCUUUCACCCCCAGUACACACGUGGCAUUCCUGCUAGAAACACCGAUUCUGUUGCUCACAGAGAACUGAGUUGAAGCCCUGGGUAUGCAAAAGGAGGGCAAAUCAUUGCACCUUACAUUUAUAGAACACUCUACGGUGUCUGAUUUAUUAUAUGAGAACCAUAAAGCAACAAGGAGGCAGAGAAAAACUCAAUAUGCAGGGCUUUUUUUUUUUUAUGUUAGCACCUGCCAAGGUUGGAGCCACUCACACUGUCCAUUUCCUUCCAGAACCCUCUCUUGGGGGGAGGGAGGGAGGAGCUGCAGACAGAUAUGGUGGGGAAGUGAAAGAAGAGGAGCCUGCUCUGAAGGACUUCCUUGAAAUAGCUGAGGAAUAGGUCCUUGUGAAAUAAGGAUUGAUUGUAGAGGGGAAACGACUAGAAUGCAGUUGGUCAGCCAAAGGCACUAAACAUCUUGCAAUGCUCAGGACCGUUUUGUGUGGGAAAGAGUUGUCCUGCAUCCUGCAUGACUUGACUCUCCCACUGCUCCUUGAUGUAGAUGGAAAACCUGUUCAUAUUUACCUGAGCCUAGAAUCUAUUUUACAUAUAAACAAAGUGUUUUCCACACAGUUGAAGACAUACUAAAUUUUCCUGGAAUGUGGUAUUAUAUUCUUGGAAUUUUAAUGACUAAUACUGUCCAUUUUGUGGCUAUUUAAUGGCAAUUCUAAAGAUGGAGGCAAGCAUCUGACUGUUUUAUUGUGUCUCUUAGUCUUGACUUGCCUGAGCAUUUCCAUGUUGAAUCACGCAUUUACUUUGUCCUCUGUUAUAGUUAAGGCUAUAGCUUUGAAUUUUUAAAAAUUAUGUGUGUAGGUACCUUCAUAAUGUUAAACAGAAUAUUGCCCCAACUUUGUUAUUAAAAGGGCAUUAGCUUUGACAGGGCUGAGAACCAUUUAUUCAGUAAGUCAAUAAAUAUCAUUUAGGUGUUAUGUGCUAGGUACCAUUCUAGUAUGGUAUGUCAACAAAUAAAACAGAAGAAGUUUACUGCCUUUAUGGAACUUACACUCUAAUGUGAGUAUGGGGCGGCAGACAUUAAAUAAUAAACAAAUUAAGUAAAUUCUUUGGUAUAUUCAAAAGUGAUUUAUUAUAUAAAGUAAAGCAAGAUAAAGGAUAUUGGGGAUGCAGGAGAGAGUGUGGGUUGAAAUGUUAAAUAUUGUGAUCAGGGUAAGCUUUAUUGAGAAGGUGACAUACAAGGAAAGAUCUGGAGUGGUAAGAGAAUUUUCUGGUGGAUUUCUGAGAGAAGAACACUCCAGAAAGAGAGAACAGUUAGGUAUAGGCCUCAAGGUGAGUGUGUGCCUGAAGUUUUCAAGAAACACCAAGGAUGCUAAUGUGUGGCUGGGCUGGAGAGAGUAGGGAGUGGAAGGAUUCAGGACUAAGACUGGGUUGGGACAGGCGAUAAGGGACUUGUAGGGCAUUGCGAGAGCUUUGGCUUUCGUGCUGCAUGAAAUGAGCAGCUGCUGGAGAGUUUUAGGCAGAGAAGUGACACGAUCAGGAAUAAUUUUCAAAGGAUUAUUCUGGCUGCUCUAUCCACGAUGGGUCAUAGAGAGCAAAUGGUAAAAGCGAAUAGGCAAGAAGCUAUUGCAAUAAUCCAGGCGAAAAAUACGAUGGCCUGAUCCAGAGUGGCAGCCAUGAAAAGUAGAGUGAGAGAGGAAUCAUGAAUACCAGAGGGCACAGCGGAAGAAUUCCAGGGGUUGGGGAGGGCGGCAAGAUGGAGAGAGAUUAUUAGAGGCCAAGAGUUUGGGAGAGAUCUGGGUGUCUGGGACUUCUUGAGGUGACUGACAUAAACACAGGGAUACAGGGGAUAUUGAAGUCAGUUUCAGAGUGAAGAAA